rnacentral:rRNA from 12 species
GCUGGAAAUCGAAAGGAAACAGAAACGGAAAAGGAAAAAGGAAAAGGAAAAGAAAGAGGAGAAGGAGAAAAUGUGAAGUCGUCCAGGACGAAUUCACCUAGGACCGCAAGUUCA